rnacentral:rRNA from 1 species
AAUAGAUACCCGGGUAGUCCACCCCGUAAACGUUGGGAACUAGUUGUGGGGUCCUUUCCACGGAUUCCGUGACGCAGCUAACGCAUUAAGUUCCCCGCCUGGGGAGUACGGCCGCAAGGCUAAAACUCAAAGGAAUUGACGGGGACCCGCACAAGCGGCGGAGCAUGCGGAUUAAUUCGAUGCAACGCGAAGAACCUUACCAAGGCUUGACAUACACCAGAACACCCUAGAAAUAGGGGACUCUUUGGACACUGGUGAACAGGUGGUGCAUGGUUGUCGUCAGCUCGUGUCGUGAGAUGUUGGGUUAAGUCCCGCAACGUGCGCAACCCUCGUUCUAUGUUGCCAGCACGUAAUGGUGGGAACUCAUGGGAUACUGCCGGGGUCAACUCGGAGGAAGGUGGGGAUGACGUCAAAUCAUCAUGCCCCUUAUGUCUUGGGCUUCACGCAUGCUACAAUGGCCGGUACAAAGGGCUGCAAUACCGUGAGGUGGAGCGAAUCCCAAAAAGCCGGUCCCAGUUCGGAUUGAGGUCUGCAACUCGACCUCA